rnacentral:misc_RNA from 1 species
GAUGAAGAACGCAGCGAAAUGCGAUAAGUAAUGUGAAUUGCAGAAUUCAGUGAAUCAUCGAAUCUUUGAACGCACAUUGCGCCCGCUAGUAUUCUGGCGGGCAUGCCUGUCUGAGCGUCGUUUCGACCCUCGCGCCCGGCUUCUGUCGGGGGCGGUGUUGGGGAUCGGCCACACCCUUCAGUGGGAGGCCGGCCCCUAAAUUCAGUGGCGACCACGCUGUAGCCUCCCCUGCGUAGUACUAAAACCACCUCGCAGGCGGAGAGCGGUGCGGCCCGCCGUAAAACCCCCCAACUUUUACAAGGUCGACCUCAGAUCAGGUAGGAAUACCCGCUGAACUUAAGCAUAUCAAUAAGCGGAGGA